rnacentral:rRNA from 1 species
UGGCUCAGGACGAACGCUGGCGGCGUGCUUAACACAUGCAAGUCGAACGAUGAACCACUUCGGUGGGGAUUAGUGGCGAACGGGUGAGUAACACGUGGGCAAUCUGCCCUUCACUCUGGGACAAGCCCUGGAAACGGGGUCUAAUACCGGAUACGACCACUACGGGCAUCCGUGGUGGUGGAAAGCUCCGGCGGUGAAGGAUGAGCCCGCGGCCUAUCAGCUUGUUGGUGAGGUAAUGGCUCACCAAGGCGACGACGGGUAGCCGGCCUGAGAGGGCGACCGGCCACACUGGGACUGAGACACGGCCCAGACUCCUACGGGAGGCAGCAGUGGGGAAUAUUGCACAAUGGGCGAAAGCCUGAUGCAGCGACGCCGCGUGAGGGAUGACGGCCUUCGGGUUGUAAACCUCUUUCAGCAGGGAAGAAGCGAAAGUGACGGUACCUGCAGAAGAAGCGCCGGCUAACUACGUGCCAGCAGCCGCGGUAAUACGUAGGGCGCAAGCGUUGUCCGGAAUUAUUGGGCGUAAAGAGCUCGUAGGCGGCUUGUCACGUCGAUUGUGAAAGCCCGAGGCUUAACCUCGGGUCUGCAGUCGAUACGGGCUAGCUAGAGUGUGGUAGGGGAGAUCGGAAUUCCUGGUGUAGCGGUGAAAUGCGCAGAUAUCAGGAGGAACACCGGUGGCGAAGGCGGAUCUCUGGGCCAUUACUGACGCUGAGGAGCGAAAGCGUGGGGAGCGAACAGGAUUAGAUACCCUGGUAGUCCACGCCGUAAACGGUGGGAACUAGGUGUUGGCGACAUUCCACGUCGUCGGUGCCGCAGCUAACGCAUUAA